UUCUGGGGGUGGAUGUGGCAGGUGGUCGUGGGAAGCACCUGCAGGGGAGGGGGGAAGUGGGACACGGAAGGGGAAGCAGCCUCAAAAGGGUGAGAUAGCAACAUGUCGCCUGCGAGAGAGGACGGAGCUUAAUCCCACUGCGGAACUCUGAAAAAUGGUGUCCUUGUGAUAUGCCUCAGACUUAUCUCACCAGAACAGCAAGAAAGAUGAGGCCGAGAGAACUCCUGGGAACAGAGGGCCUCAGGCAAGGAGCCUCGAUGCAGCCAUGGCUGGGGACCACAGCAGUACGUCAGAGCAUGUCUUUUUCAACAAGGGUAGGAGGAGUGGCCAGAAGACGCAUGGGCAGGGCCAGGAACAUGAGCUCGACUGAGAAGAUGGUGCUGCGGGUGGUGGGAUAUAAGGGCACAGUUCAUAAACACGACGGCAUAAUAAAGAAUGUUAUCACCAAUGACUUACAGCCCAG